rnacentral:rRNA from 1 species
GUAAGAGUUAUGAGCUUGAAACUUAAAAAAUUUGGCGGUAUUUUAAACUAUUCAGAGGAACUUGUCCUAUAAUUGAUAAUCCACGAUGGACCUUACUUAAAUUUGUUAAUUUUCAGUUUAUAUACCGUCGUUAUCAGAAUAUUUUAUAAGAAUAAUAAUUUUCAUAAAUUUAAAGUAAGAAUUUAUUUCAGAUCAAGGUGUAGCAUAUAUUUAAGUAGAGAUGAGUUACAUUAAGUUUAUUUAUACGGAUGUUAAUAUGAAAAAUUAAUUUAAGGUGGAUUUGAAAGUAAAAUUGUAAAGAU